AGUCCAAAACAGUCCAAAUCUGUAUUACCUUUAUAGGCCAACCUUAGCAUCCUAGAACAGCCCCCAAAGGACCCCCGGGUAAACCGGAACACCACCCACUCCCUCCCCACCCCCACAAGCCUUUUUCUUCUAAGAUUCUUCUUUUGUGGGAUGAAUGAUGCACAUGAUUGUGGUGCGUGCAUUUCCAUCCUCGAUCCUGCAUCUCUAGGCCUGGACACAUAUGGCUCAGCCGCCGCUGGUGUUCCAGCCUGAGAGGGCCACUCACCUCUGCCUUCCCACCUCCCCUGCCCUUGGCUUUAAUCCUCUGAGGCUUACAGCAGCCACCCAACUGCUCUUUUUUGCUUCAACUUCCUCCUCUUCUUCUCCUUCAACUAGAACAAAGAUAGAUGGUGCGGAUCACCAAGAAAGCAAAGGGAUAAAGCUGAUUUGGGUGUCCUGGGGAGCGGAACAGGGGCACUGGGAUUGGAUGGGUCAGUUGUGGUGGGUGCGGGGGAGUGGCAGGCAGGGUGUUGUGACGAUGAGAGGAGGCGGGUGGCCCACGACCCACCCAAGCGGGGCUGCAACCCGACCCCCACACCGCCGGUGAACUCUUUCCCUGUCUGCCUUGUUGGAUUUGUGCUUUGUGUCCCCUUCCCCAGUGGAGGCAGCACCUUCGAGUGCAUCUCCUUCCACCUACCUCUGUUCCAUUUACGACGUCACGGUAAUAUUAUGAUGUCACGCACGUUUUAUUUCCAUGAAGUAAGAUUCGAGGUUUCACAUGAAUAAUUCAUGAUCUCAUGGAUCAGAGAAGAAGAUGAAUGACAAAGAUCCGAGAUGGGUGAAUUCCUGACCUUUCAUGGUGCUGUUCUUUCAGUAAAGUUGGAUUAUUUUUGGAUAAGAUUAGAAUUUGGAUGCUCAUAGUGCGAGUUCAUUAUUAUGACUUUUAAUCUGUAGGCCCUAAAAAGCUUCUGUACGGUGCGUGAGCGGAAGUAAUCACACUUGUAAGGAAUGAGUGAUGCCACACUUACGGAUAGAUUCCGACUCCAAUAAUCGACUAUUGGUUUGCGUGUAGAACAGCAACACCAGAUAGAUCGCAGGAAGUUAAUUCUAAGGUAUAAUGGCUGACACCUGUCGAUUUUUGGUGUGGUUAAGCCAUAUCUUCUUUUUGUUAUAAAUCAUAUCUUCAUUAUCAAUAAUUAAGAUUAUUCUUCGGUGA